rnacentral:rRNA from 1 species
UACGUAGGGUGCGAGCGUUGUCCGGAAUUAUUGGGCGUAAAGAGCUUGUAGGCGGUUUGUCGCGUCUGCUGUGAAAAUCCGGGGCUCAACCCCGGACUUGCAGUGGGUACGGGCAGACUGGAGUGUGGUAGGGGAGACUGGAAUUCCUGGUGUAGCGGUGAAAUGCGCAGAUAUCGGGAGGAACACCAAUGGCGAAGGCAGCUUGCUGGGACGGUACUGACGCUGAGGUACGAAAGCGUGGGGAGCAAACAGG